rnacentral:rRNA from 1 species
GAUUCUGGCUCAGAACGAACGCUGGUGGCGUGUCUUAUACAUGCAAGUCGAGCGAGGCAGCAAUGCCUAGCGGCGAACGGGUGAGUAACGCGUAAGCAGUCUGCCCCAUAUCAGGAAAUACCCGUGCCAACGCGCGGUUAAUGUCCAGGAGCGUGGCCUUCCGCAUGGGAGGUUGACAAGAGAUUUAUCGGUAUGGGAUGAGCUUGCGUCCGAUUAGCUAGUUGGCGGGGCAACGGCCCACCAAGGCGACGAUCGGUAGCCGGCCUGAGAGGGUGAUCGGCCACAUUGGGACUGAGAUACGGCCCAGACUCCUACGGGAGGCAGCAGUAGGGAAUAUUGCACAAUGGGGGAAACCCUGAUGCAGCAACGCCAACCGUGUGGGAAGAAGCAUUUCGGUGUGUAAACCACUGUCGUGAGGGAAUAAGGCGUCUUCUCGGAGACGUUGAAUGUACCUCGAAAGGAAGCACCGGCAAACUUCGUGCCAGCCGCCGC